UACGAAGGGAGCUAGCGUUGUUCGGAAUCACUGGGCGUAAAGCGCACGUAGGCGGAUGUGUCAGUCAGGGGUGAAAUCCCGGAGCUCAACUUCGGAAUGCCUUUGAUACAGCACGUCUUGAGUCCGAUAGAGGUGGGUGGAAUUCCUAGUGUAGAGGUGAAAUUCGUAGAUAUUAGGAAGAACACCGGUGGCGAAGGCGGCCCACUGGAUCGGUACUGACGCUGAGGUGCGAAAGCGUGGGGAGCAAACAGG
rnacentral:rRNA from 1 species